AAACGUUCUCAGGUUAUCAAAAUCGUUUUUAAGAAUUGUGCUAAAUAUGGAAAUUUAUAUAAAAUGAUCGUUGUUUCAAGUUUCUUUACUAAAUGGCGGGUGGAAUUUCUUCAUUAUUAUCGAGACAGUUUAGAAACUUUGUUCCACUUGUAAUAAGGACACUAGCUAAUCUUCCCAAACCGGUAAAACAACUAAAAUUAAUAACCAUUUGGAAAAUAAAAAAAAACGGAAAUAAGUAAAAAAAAAAUAAAGUUGUAACUUACUUUGACACGUAGUUCUCGUAAAGGUUGAGGCAUUAACAAGGAUCUAAUCUGGGUUUCUAUGGGACCAUCCGUACCAGCACAUAACAUCGUAUCGCCUUCCCUUAAAGUACCGUUUACCAAAAUAACAUCAAUGGUGGUACCUGAAAUCGAAUAUACCGACAGAAAAAUGAAA